rnacentral:rRNA from 1 species
CCUACGGGGGACUGCAGUGAGGAAUAUUGGUCAAUGGCCGGAAGGCUGAACCAGCCAUGCCGCGUGAGGGUCAGUGCCCUUUGGUCGGUAAACUUCUUUUGUGCGGGAGCAAUAAUGGUCACGUGUGGCCAGACGAGAGUACCGUACGAAUAAGCAUCGGCUAACUCCGUGCCAGCAGCCGCGGUAAUACGGGGGAUGCAAGCGUUAUCCGGAUUUAUUGGGUUUAAAGGGUGCGUAGGCGGUGGGGUAAGUCAGCGGUGAAAUGCCCCGCUCAACGGGGUGAAGUGCCAUUGAUACUGCCUUGCUGGAAUGCGGAUGCGGUGAGAGGAAUGUGUGGUGUAGCGGUGAAAUGCAUAGAUAUCACACAGAACACCGAUUGCGAAGGCAUCUCACGAAUCCGCGAUUGACGCUGAUGCACGAAAGCGUGGGUAUCAAACAGGAUUAGAUACCCCUGUAGUC